GGUUGUGUUUGUAGUUGUGCAUGGUUGUGUUUGUGGUUGUGUUUGUAGUUGUGCAUGGUUUUGUGCAUGGUUGUGUUUGUGAUUGUGUUUGUAGUUGUCCAUGGUUGUGUUUGUAGUUGUGCAUGGUUGUGUUUGUGGUUGUGUUUGUAGUUGUGCAUGGUUGUGUUUUUGUCCAUGGUUGUGGUUGUGCAUGGUUGUGCAUGGUUGUGUUUGUGGUUGUGCAUGGUUGUGUUUGUGGUUGUGUUUGUGGUUGUGUUUGUAGUUGUGCAUGGUUGUGUUUGUGGUUGUGCAUGGUUGUGUUUGUGGUUGUGUUUGUGAUUGUGUUUGUAGUUGUCCAUGGUUGUGUUUGUAGUUGUGCAUGGUUGUGUUUGUAGUUGUGCAUGGUUGUGUUUGUGGUUGUGCAUGGUUGUGUUUGUAGUUGUGCAUUGUUGUGUUUGUGGUUGUGUUUGUAGUUGUGCAUGGUUGUGUUUGUGGUUGUGUUUGUAGUUGUGCAUGGUUGUGUUUGUAGUUGUCCAUGGUUGUGUUUGUAGUUGUGCAUGGUUGUGUUUGUAGUUGUGCAUGGUUGUGUUUGUAGUUGUGCAUGGUUGUGUUUGUAGUUGUGCAUGGUUGUGUUUGUGGUAGUGUUUGUGGUUGUGUUUGUGGUUGUGUUUGUGGUUGUGCAUAGUUGUGUUUGUGGUUGUGUUUGUGGUUGUGUUUGUGG
ensembl:lncRNA